GACGAACGCUGGCGGCGUGCUUAACACAUGCAAGUCGUACGGUAAGGCCCUUUCGGUGGUACACGAGUUGCGAACGGGUGAGUAACACGUGAGUAACCUGCCCACAACUUUGGGAUAACGCUAGGAAACUGGUGCUAAUACGGGAUAUGUGCUCCUGCUGCAUGGUGGGGGUUGGAAAGCUCGGGCGGUUGUGGAUGGACUCGCGGCCUAUCAGCUUGUUGGUGGGGUAGUGGCCUACCGAGGCGGCGACGGGUAGCCGGCCUGAGAGGGUGACCGGCCACAUUGGGACUGAGAUAGGGCCCAGACUCCUACGGGAGGCAGCAGAGGGGAAUAUUGCACAAUGGGCGCAAGCCUGAUGCAGAAAAGCGGCGUGCGGGAUGAAGGCCUUCGGGUUGUAAACGGAUUUCAGCAGGGACGAAGCUUUUUGUGACGGUACCUGCAUAAGAAGCACCGGCUAACUACGUG
rnacentral:rRNA from 1 species